CGUGAAGAAAUUAGAGUGUUCAAAGCGGGCGCGAAAGCAAUUUCUCGCCGUUGAAUACGUCAGCAUGGGAUAAUGGAAUAGGACCCCGCUCUCCUAUUUUCCGUUGGUUUCCGGGAGCGGGGUAAUGAUUGAUAGGGAUAGUUGGGGGCAUCGAUAUUUAAUUGUCAGAGGUGAAAUUCUUGGAUUUAUGAAAGAUCGACUUCCGCGAAAGCAUUUGCCAAGGAUGUUUUCAUUAAUCAAGAACGAAAGUUAGGGGAUCGAAGACGAUCAGAUACCGUCGUAGUCUUAACCAUAAACCGUGCCGACCAGCGAUCGGGAGACGUCGCAUGGAUGACUCCC
rnacentral:rRNA from 1 species